GGCUGUUGAUCGCGUGGUGCCUGUUGUUAACGGCGCCGGCGUUCGCUGCAUCACGCAACAUGUGUUGUUCCCCGACUUCUGUACACGCCGGGAACUUUUGAUAGUUAACGGCGCUCCGUAUCGGCGACACAGCCGUGAGCUACGGCCACUGGAUCCGAACGACAACAGGUGCAUCAGAUAUGCAGCAUACGCAUGUUUCACCAAUUGGAUAUGGGGGUACCUUGGCCCAAGGAACAGACGUCAGAUUCCAGGCUGUGUUGUGCGCACUAUUCGGAACCUGUUCCCAUCUGCCACGUACACAGGCUACUUCCCGUGAAAGGGAUAAAAAAUUGUUGCCAACACCACUGCAGGAAGAACAUGGUCUUGGAUGGACUUCUGAAAGAUGCUGUUCUCGGUAUCCACCCCAGGAAGCAUUGGAAGGUUGUCAACCUGGUGGGCAGAGGCAUUCCAUUCAUCGUCAUUGUGCCAGGAGGAGAUGACAGA